AAAGCUCAAAUUUGAAAUCUGGCCCUUUCAGGGUCCGAGUUGUAAUUUGUAGAAGAUGCUUUGGGUGUGGCUCCGGUCUAAGUUCCUUGGAACAGGACGUCAUAGAGGGUGAGAAUCCCGUAUGUGACUGGCUGCCUCCGCCCGUGUAAAGCUCUUUCGACGAGUCGAGUUGUUUGGGAAUGCAGCUCAAAAUGGGUGGUAAAUUUCAUCUAAAGCUAAAUAUUGGCCAGAGACCGAUA
rnacentral:rRNA from 1 species